rnacentral:rRNA from 1 species
GCCCAGCACCGAAUCCUUCACCAUCUCGGUGACAGGAAAUGUGGUGUUUAGGCCGUACCUUGUCCCGACACGUCUCUCCUCAAGUCCACUUGAUUGUGGCCCCAGGCCCAGAGAGGGUGUAAGGCCCGUGGAGGCGAGACGUUCGGUACCUGGUGCGUCCUUAGAGUCGGGUUGUUUGGGAAUGCAGCCCUAAGCGGGUGGUAAACUCCAUCCAAGGCUAAAUACCAGCACGAGUCCGAUAGCGAAGAAGUACCGCGAGGGAAGGUUGAAAAGAACUUUGAAGAGAGAGUUCAAGAGUACGUGAAACCGCUGAGAGGCAAACUGGUGGAACUGAAAUGGUCCCGAGGAAUUCAGCCGUUGGUCGUUGCACAGUCUUUGGUGAUUGAUCUAACGACGGCGCCAUUGAAUGACGUUUCGAUCAUCGGUGCACUUUCCUCGCCUGGGCCCGACCACGACCGGUGAGCUGAUCUGUCUGUCGUGCUUGGAAGAUAGCGCCGUCUUCGGAAGGCGUGUUAUAGACAGGCAUACGGAGCAGUCGGCGCACUGGAUGAUAGUGCCUGCCCAUCUGGGCUCAUAUGGUGGUUGUUUUGUUGGCGAGUUCUGAUGUCACUACUUCGGUAGAGUCGUUAGACUCUGUUGGCAUUAUGGCUGUCCUCUAUGAUUGGCACUGUUAAGUCUGUGGUUGUGAAGUAGGUAGUCCACCUGACCCGUCUUGAAACACGGACCAAGGAGUCUAACAUGUGCGCGAGUCAUUGGGUUCACGAAACCUAAAGGCGCAGUGAAGGUAAAGAUCUGUUUUGGCAGAUUGAGGUGGGAUGCCGGGUUACGCGCCCGGCCGCACUACCGGCCCGUUCUAUAUGUCUUUCAUAGGAGCGGAGCAAGAGCGUACACGUUGGGACCCGAAAGAUGGUGAACUAUGCUUGCGCAGGUCGAAGCCAGAGAA